AUUUAGCAAAUAAAUAAACAACUUGUACUGCCAUGUAGCGAUUUCGAUAGACGACGCCUUCAAGGGAGGAGGAGUCUACAACAUAUUGAAUUUAUCGAUCGAUUGUUAGGCCGAUUUCGAUCAGCAUUGUAUAGUUAAUGAAUGACAACUUGACGAGAUCUUGACACGCACGUUGGAAGUGUACGCGUGUUUGCACCUCGAUGAGCGUUGCACAAUAACAAAGCUCCGUUGGUGAGCGUAUUGAUUAAUAAAGCUAGGUGAAGUCCUUGAGUGCCUCAAGGACUUUGUUUUGUUUUAGCAGUAUUUUUUCCUUCAACAAUUAAUCUUGCAUCUCCAACCGUGGAAUGAGUUACAUGUGACUCGAGACAAACAAACAGUGCAAUUGCAACAAUAUAAUUAGUCAGCGAUAUAAAUUUGCCAUAUCUUCAUGCCAACCACAAGGAUUCUGCUUUUGCACACACCUUCAUUAUUAAUGUGUUUCUUCAGGUAUGGUCACUAUCAGCAGCUUUACACACAGUGUGCAUCGUGAAUACAUCAAUCCCAGA
rnacentral:lncRNA from 1 species